rnacentral:rRNA from 1 species
GAUGAACGCUGGCGGCGUGCCUAAUACAUGCAAGUCGAGCGAACGGACGAGAAGCUUGCUUCUCUGAUGUUAGCGGCGGACGGGUGAGUAACACGUGGAUAACCUACCUAUAAGACUGGGAUAACUUCGGGAAACCGGAGCUAAUACCGGAUAAUAUUUUGAACCGCAUGGUUCAAUAGUGAAAGACGGUUUUGCUGUCACUUAUAGAUGGAUCCGCGCCGCAUUAGCUAGUUGGUAAGGUAACGGCUUACCAAGGCAACGAUGCGUAGCCGACCUGAGAGGGUGAUCGGCCACACUGGAACUGAGACACGGUCCAGACUCCUACGGGAGGCAGCAGUAGGGAAUCUUCCGCAAUGGGCGAAAGCCUGACGGAGCAACGCCGCGUGAGUGAUGAAGGUCUUCGGAUCGUAAAACUCUGUUAUUAGGGAAGAACAUAUGUGUAAGUAACUGUGCACGUCUUGACGGUACCUAAUCAGAAAGCCACGGCUAACUACGUG